GACGAACGCUGGCGGCGUGCUUAACACAUGCAAGUCGAACGGAAAGGCCCUGCUUUUGUGGGGUGCUCGAGUGGCGAACGGGUGAGUAACACGUGAGUAACCUGCCCUUGACUUUGGGAUAACUUCAGGAAACUGGGGCUAAUACCGGAUAGGAGCUCCUGCUGCAUGGUGGGGGUUGGAAAGUUUCGGCGGUUGGGGAUGGACUCGCGGCUUAUCAGCUUGUUGGUGGGGUAGUGGCUUACCAAGGCUUUGACGGGUAGCCGGCCUGAGAGGGUGACCGGCCCCAUUGGGACUGAGAUACGGCCCAGACUCCUACGGGAGGCAGCAGUGGGGAAUAUUGCACAAUGGGCGGAAGCCUGAUGCAGCAACGCCGCGUGCGGGAUGCCGGCCUUCGGGUUGUAACCCGCUUUCGCCUGUGACGAAGCGUGAGUGACGGUAAUGGGUAAAGAAGCACCAGCUAACUACGUG
rnacentral:rRNA from 1 species